GUCACUCAGUGCUUCUCACUGCAGGAUGCAAACAGCUGGGGCUCAAGCAUGAGGCCCCUAAAUUUGACCACACAGAGGCCAUGAUUUAGAAAAAAGUAAUGCUUUUUAUCCAGCAAGUUGCAGAUGCUACCAUGACACCAUCCUGACUUCCCUGGGCAGAGGACUUCAUCAAUGUGUCCUGGAACUCCACCUCUCCAGAUUCCUGCCUGGCUAGGAAAAGAUAGAAACGGCUGGGAGUAUGGAUCAACCUGCCAGUGCUCAUGUCCAACGGAGAAGCAAUUACAGAAGCCAGACCUUCUGCACCCCAUAGAGAUCUUUGGUCCAUACUCACAAAGGAAUAAAGAAUAGGGAAGCUUCCAAUGGAAGGGAUGGGAUGUGGAACUCUGGUGGUGGAAACCGCGUGGAAUUGUAUCCCUCUUAUCCUACGGUCCUGUUGAUCAUUAUUAAAUCAAUCAAUCAAAAAGUAUAUAUAUAAAACCUUAGUUCAGUCAUGUGCUGUUCUUGAAGAGCAAUAAAUCUUAGAUCUGUU